rnacentral:rRNA from 1 species
UGUGACCUACGGGAGGCAGCAGUGAGGAAUAUUGGUCAAUGGGCGCGAGCCUGAACCAGCCAAGUCGCGUGAAGGAUGACUGCCCUACGGGUUGUAAACUUCUUUUAUAAAGGAAUAAAGUGAGGCACGUGUGCCUUUUUGUAUGUACUUUAUGAAUAAGGAUCGGCUAACACCGUGCCAGCAGCCGCGGUAAUACGGAGGAUCCGAGCGUUAUCCGGAUUUAUUGGGUUUAAAGGGAGCGUAGCU